CUUGAUCGAACCGAGCAGCAGCGGACGGUCGACCGGCCGAUCCUGCCCGUACGUCGCCAGCAACGCCUGCGCCUC
rnacentral:antisense_RNA from 1 species